CAUGAGUGUAUGAGAACAUGUCUGAGUAUGUACAGAUGUGGAGGGAGGGGAAUGGGUGCUGGAGACACGGGCAGGGACAGUAUCAUGGUUGCCAUGCCAGCUACAUUUUCUCACUUCACACUCUCAGCAAUGCCAUGUGAUAGACAUUAUAAUCUGUUUAUAGAUGAGAAAAUUUGAUUUAGACAAAUUAAGUACCCUGCCAAGUCAUUCUGAUGAAUGGUAGAGCUGAGCCUUGACUCUCAGUCAGCAAAGCUGAUGACCUUCUUACAUCCCAUGCUGAAAAGCAAGAUGGCCAGGGCCCUGACAUUGUUUCAGGGUAAAGCAGCCAGGAGACAUCAGAAGCAGGAGCUGUGCUGUGUUCAUCCUGAAAAGUCCUGGAGGAGGAAGCCACCUAUGGGUGUCUGGGCGGGUGAUGGGGGCAGGUGGAAGUGGAGGGGCAAGGCUAAACCUUUAAGGAACUUCCUAUAGGUGAGCACUCCUGGGAGAAUCAGAACACUGGGAGGAAAGAGGUCGAGGACACAGCCUUCCUGCUGUGUAGAUAGAACCUUCUGGUGGAUGGAAAUUUCCAUGAAUGCUUCAGCCUUUCUGCCUGGCUUUACAGGGAAAUGGAUUUUAGAGCUACUGGCCAGAAGAUCACCUUUACGGAAAGCAUCUUGCAGUCAACCCCCUCCCCAAGCCGCCUUCCAGUAAGAGGCACAAUGGAAGGUCCCCAGUCUGGAGCAAGGAUAGGGGCCAACUGAACUGCCAUGAGAGACAGUGACGGUGCUGAGGGUGAAGGCUAUUUGUCAGGGAGAUCCUGAGAAAGGCUAAGGAAACCUGGCACAGAGGAUGUGAAAUGGGGGAAAUGUGAGGCUCCCUGAAGAAGUGAUGGAGCUUGCAGAGGGCGCCCUAUGUGCCGGGCGCUGGCCUAGGCGCUUUCCAGCUGAUACCUCGCUUAUCCUCAGGGCAACCUGAUGAGGUAGGUACCAUUAUUACCUAUUUUACAGAUGAGGAAACUGAGCCAUGUGGAGGUGGAAAAGCCAAGACUGAUCCCAGGCAGCCUGGCUCUGUGUGCUGAACAGUCGUACUUUUUGCCCUCUGGUAUCUCAUACGUGGAAGGCAGGCAGGGAACAGAGGAGAAUGGUUGAGGCUGAAUUGGUACAUAAGCGCAAGGGCCCAGGGUCCUGAGUGGUGCCUGAGAACAGAGGGGCCCAAGCUGUUGGGCCAUAGAGCAGACUGCCUGGUGUCUGCCAGGUAGUAGAUUAUCCCUAAGUGUUGAACUGAAAUCAAGCAUCGCUAUCUGACCUGUCAGCCCUGUCUCUCCAGGUCAUCAAUAUUUCUCUUAAUUCUUUGAUUUUCUCAAACUGGGUAAACCACAGAAAUUGUGUAUUUCUUUUCCUUAAUUUUUUUUUUUUUUUUCCGAGAUGGAGUCUUGCUGUCACCCAGGCUGGAGUGCAGUGGUGUGAUUUCGGCUCACUGCAACCUCCGCCUGGAUUCAAGCGAUUCUCCUGCCUCAGCCUCCUGAAUAGCUGGGAUUACAGGCAUGUGCCACCACACCUGACUAAUUUUUCGUCUUUUUAGUAGAGACAGGGUUUCACUGUGUUAGCCUGGAUGGUCUCCAUCUCCUGACCUUGAGAUCCACCCACCUUGGCCUCCCAAAGUGCUAGGAUUACAGGCAUGAGCCAUCACGCCUGGCCGGAAAAUGUUUAUUUCUUUAAAAAAACAGAUUGUCCAGUUCAGGGAACAGG